ensembl:lncRNA
CCCGUGUCAGGGUGGGCUGCCCUGGCCACAUGCUCCUAGUGCUCCCCGGUCUUUCUGCCCAGCACCCGUGUAACUCCUUCCUAGACUCAUGGAGGUCAUGUUCGUAUUUCUGCUACAGUGGAAGCGCCGUGGAGGCCAGGACCCGGCCUGUCUUGUUCACCCCUGCGUUCCCGGUUCUCAGCACAGGGCAAGGGUCAUGGUAUGUGCCCAGUGAACACUUCUCGCACACCAACAACCCAGGACACGGACUUUGUGCCCACUUUACAGCACAGGGCAAGGAGCCAAGGUCCAACCCGUGCUGUGCUGAGGUCACAGAGUUUGUCCAAGAUACAGGCACUGGAAUCUCACCCUCCAUUUGUUUGUUCAACAGGUUUUUAUCCGGCGCCCACUGGAUGCAGAGAUGGAGCUGAAGCCGCCCUGCGAAGGAGAGAGGCAAUAAAAGCGACAGGCUGGAACCGCCUUCUCCACCUAGACUCCGAUUCCUGCAAACACAGCGGUGAUGGAACCCUAAGGAAACGUGAAAGCGCCUGCCUUCUGCUCUCAAUAACAUCGCAGCUGAUCAAGCUCUGCCAGCUCGCGGCCCCGUGGCUCCCGGACCGAGAGAGUAGGAAAUUCAGAAUUGCCAACUCAGUUUUCCCCACCAAGCACAUUUUGUUUAAAAUUUUCAUCUAGAGUCACCAUAAUUUCUUAAAAGAAAAAACUUUUUUUUUUUUUUGAAGAUUAGCCCUGAGCUAACAUCUGCCACCAAUCCUCCUCUUUUUGCUGAGGAAGAUUGGCCCUGAGCUAACAUCUGUGCCUGUCUUCCUCCACUUUAUAUGUGGGACGCCUACGACAGCAUGGCGUGCCAAGCGGUGCCAUGUCCACACCCAGGAUCCAAACCGGUCAACCCUGGGCUGUCAAAGCAGAAUGUGCGCACUUAACCACUGCGCCACCGGGCUGGCCCCAGAAAAAACUUUUAAACACAGAAAGGAGUUAGUCUCAGAAUAGGGAAAAUAACCAGAGAGUUGUCAAUUCACGCUGAUGCUACCAAAUUUAUUUUGUAAAUAGCAUAUUUGAAAAGUUUGUUUGAAACAACCCAAAUUAUCUUCGGUGAUGAAUGGGUAAACCAAAUGUGGUCCAUCCAUACGAUGGAAUAUUAUUCAGCCAUAAAAAGGAAUGAGGGAUCGAUACAUACCACAAUGUGGGGGAAGCUCAGAAACGUGAUGCUAAGUGAAGGAGGCCAGACUCAAAAGGCCGCCUAUUGUACCGUUCUGUUUAUGUAAAAUGUCCCAAAUAGGCAAAUCCAUAGGAACAGAACGUAGACUGGUGGUUGUCAGGGGCUGGAAGGAGGGAGGAAAUGGAGAGAGACUGCUAGCGGGUACAGGCUUCUUUUGAGGGUGAUAAAAAUGUUCUGAAAUUAGAGAGUGGGGAUGGUUGCACGACAUUGUGAAUAUACUAAAAACCACUAAAUUGUAUACUUUAAAAUGACAACUUUUAUGUUUUAUGGAUUAUAGCUAAUUAAAAAAUACAGUUAAAAAACAUGAAUGUAGGAAAAAAGUUUGUGGAAGUAUGAAAAUGACGACCUUAAGUCGUCUUGACAUCCCCUUGGCGAGGGGCUGUUUGCAUCGGGAACCCUCCGUUGACUGUGUGUCACGAACUUUUCUGCUCCCGUGGAUUUUGCAACUGUUACAAAUCCGUUUUCACAGAGCCGGGUUGACCGAAACGGAAGCAAAGAGAGCUCACUUGUCCGCUCAAGGCAGAAUAUUCUGAGCCGUCACUGGCCAAGGGAUGCUGGGGUGGGGUCAACCCUGGCCCUUCACAUCUGCCCUGGACCUGGACGGAGGGCAGAGUGAGGUGGGCCAGGCUGCCUGCUAUGAUGGUCGUCCAUGUCUGGACAUCUUCAGCAUGGGGGGUGGGGACCGCUCCCUUGGAGAUGCCUGGGCUGCUGUCCUGUGAAGCCCCCUCCUGUCUCCCCCUCCCUCCGUUCCCUAACCCCUGCUCUGUUCACGAUGCUGGUGGAGAGUGGAUUUUUGGUGUUCAACAUGAACUGGAAGCUCAGUGUCACACGAGGACCAAUGGGGAGCAGCAGGAUAGCACCGAGGCAGUGGGGCCCAUGGCUUGGAAACCCCUGUGGGGAUCUCCAAGGGCGGGGCCCCAGCCGCUGUCUGGGUUGGGGAAUGAAUGCAGGGUGGGCAGGAUCAGCUCUGAAGUGGGGACUGUGGGGUCCCUGCAGGUAGAAGUCCACCUCU